rnacentral:rRNA from 1 species
UAAGGAAUAUUGGUCAAUGGACGCAAGUCUGAACCAGCCAUGCCGCGUGAAGGAUGAAGGUCCUCUGGAUUGUAAACUUCUUUUAUCUGGGACGAAAACGGGAUUUUUAUCUCAAUUGACGGUACCAGAGGAAUAAGCACCGGCUAACUCCGUGCCAGCAGCCGCGGUAAUACGGAGGGUGCGAGCGUUAUCCGGAUUUACUGGGUUUAAAGGGUGCGUAGGUGGGUUUAUAAGUCAGUGGUGAAAUCUCCGAGCUUAACUUGGAAACUGCCGUUGAUACUAUAGGUCUUGAAUUAUCUGGAGGUAAGCGGAAUAUGUCAUGUAGCGGUGAAAUGCUUAGAUAUGACAUAGAACACCAAUUGCGAAGGCAGCUUACUACAUAUAAAUUGACGCUGAGGCACGAAAGCGUGGGGAUCAAACA